GAGUGACAGGUGGUGCAUGGUGUCGUCAGCUCGUGUCGUGAGAUGUUGGGUUAAGUCCCGCAACGAGCGCAACCCUUGAUCUUAGUUGCCAGCAUUCAGUUGGGCACUCUAAGGUGACUGCCGGUGACAAACCGGAGGAAGGUGGGGAUGACGUCAAAUCAUCAUGCCCCUUAUGACCUGGGCUACACACGUGCUACAAUGGACAGAACAAAGAGCUGCAAGACCGCAAGGUGGAGCCAAUCCCAUAAAUCUGUUCUCAGUUCGGAUCGCAGUCUGCAACUCGCCUGCGUGAAGCUGGAAUCGCUAGUAAUCGCGGAUCAGCAUGCCGCGGUGAAUACGUUCCCGGGCCUGGUACACACC
rnacentral:rRNA from 1 species